UACGGGAGGCAGCAGUGGGGAAUAUUGCACAAUGGGCGAAAGCCUGAUGCAGCUAUGCCGCGUGUAUGAAGAAGGCCUUAGGGUUGUAAAGUACUUUCAUCGGGGAGGAAAAAACAAAACUAAUAAUUUUAUUUCUUGACGUUACCCGAAAAAGAAGCACCGGCUAACUCCGUGCUAGCAGCCGCGGUAAUACGGAGGGUGCUAGCGUUAAUCAGAAUUACUGGGCGUAAAGAGCACGUAGGUGGUUUUUUUAAGUCAGAUGUGAAAUCCCUGGGCUUAACCUAGGAACUGCAUUUUGAAACUGAAAUACUAGAGUAUCGUAGAGGGAGGUAGAAUUCUAGGUGUAGCGGUGAAAUGCGUAGAUAUCUGGAGGAAUACCUGUGGCGAAAGCGGCCUCCUAAACGAAUACUGACACUGAGGUGCGAAAGCGUGGGGAGCAAACAGGGAUUAGAUACC
rnacentral:rRNA from 1 species